rnacentral:rRNA from 1 species
AAUCAACGCUGGCGGCGUGCCUAACACAUGCAAGUCGAACGCGAAAAGGGGCAACCCUGAGUAGAGUGGCGUCCGGGUGAGUAACACGUGGAUAAUCUGCCUGCGGGCGGGGGAAUAACUUUCCGAAAGGGGAGCUAAUACCGCAUAACACCGUAACGGGGCAUCCUGAGACGGUCAAAGAGGGGGAGUCGCAAGACCUCUCGCCUGCAGAGGAGUCCGCGGCCGAUUAGCUAGUUGGCGAGGUAACGGCUCACCAAGGCGGCGAUCGGUAGCCGGCCUGAGAGGGCGAACGGCCACACUGGCACUGAAAUAACGGGCCAGACUCCUACGGGAGGCAGCAGUGGGG